rnacentral:rRNA from 1 species
GAUGAACGCUGGCGGCGUGCCUAAUACAUGCAAGUCGAGCGAACGGACGAGAAGCUUGCUUCUCUGAUGUUAGCGGCGGACGGGUGAGUAACACGUGGAUAACCUACCUAUAAGACUGGGAUAACUUCGGGAAACCGGAGCUAAUACCGGAUAAUAUUUUGAACCGCAUGGUUCAAAAGUGAAAGACGGUCUUGCUGUCACUUAUAGAUGGAUCCGCGCUGCAUUAGCUAGUUGGUAAGGUAACGGCUUACCAAGGCAACGAUGCAUAGCUGACCUGAGAGGAUGAUCGGCCACACUGGAACUGAGACACGGUCCAGACUCCUACGGGAGGCAGCAGUAGGGAAUCUUCCGCAAUGGGCGAAAGCCUGACGGAGCAACGCCGCGUGAGUGAUGAAGGUCUUCGGAUCGUAAAACUCUGUUAUUAGGGAAGAACAUAUGUGUAAGUAACUGUGCACAUCUUGACGGUACCUAAUCAGAAAGCCACGGCUAACUACGUG